GGCUUGAUGGUCUAGUAGUAUGAUUCCUUGUUAGGGUAUACUGCCAUUAGUAUAAAUCAUAUCGAGGAGGUCCUGGGUUCAAUUCCCAGUCAAGCCC